CUUCCCUAGCCUCGAGCUAGUGGUAUGUUGCUUAAAACACAUUCUUGAGCUAUUUUGAAGUGGUUAAUGUGAUGUGUCACGACGCUAGAUAAGCAACUCCGGUGAAGUUUACGACGCAGGAACGCAAAGUUGUGACAGGAUGGAUCUUGGGCGCAAGUGUUGUAACUAGAAGUAGACUACAAGUUUAGAUGUCAUCCACUUUUGUUGAAUUGUAACCUAGAUGAAGGUUGUGUUUUAAAACUUAAAUGACAAGUGUUUGUGAUCCUCAAAAUUUUCCGAAUGGAUGAACAUCGUUUUAAAUCAUGU
rnacentral:lncRNA from 1 species